CAGAUGCCUUCCAGCUGCUGGCUGGUCCCCAGGACCCCACUGCCACUGAGAGCUGACAAGUGGUCGAGUGCACGCAAGUAUGUGCAGCUCGGAGAGGUGCAGUGACGUGCCUGAGGUCUACGGCCCCAAAUGGCAGAUGAGGGGCUCAAUUCCAGGCUUGUCUGUGGGGUGCCCUCCCUGGACACAGGGGCUGCCAACCCUGUGUGAAUGUGAGCCUCAUGAAGGAGACAGGUGAGAAGCCUGAGCGCUGGUGGCUGUAAGCUGCUAAACUGUAAAUACAGAUAAUGUCGAAA
rnacentral:antisense_RNA from 1 species